AGAGUUUGAUCAUGGCUCAGAAUGAACGCUGGCGGCACGCUUAACACAUGCAAGUCGAACGAGAUCUUCGGAUCUAGUGGCAGACGGGUGAGUAACGCGUGGGAACCUGCCCAGUAGUAGAGAAUAACUUGGGGAAACUUAAGCUAAUACUUUAUACGUCCUUCGGGAGAAAGCUUUAUGCGCUAUUGGAUGGGCCCGCGUUAGAUUAGUUUGUUGGUGAGGUAAAGGCUCACCAAGGCGACGAUCUAUAGCUGGUCUGAGAGGAUGAUCAGCCACACUGGGACUGAGACACGGCCCAGACUCCUACGGGAGGCAGCAGUGGGGAAUAUUGGACAAUGGGGGCAACCCUGAUCCAGCGAUGCCGCGUGAGUGAUGAAGGCCCUAGGGUUGUAAAGCUCUUUCGUCGGGGAAGAAAAUGACUGUACCCGAAUAAGAAGGUCCGGCUAACUUCGUGCCAGCAGCUGCGGUAAUACGAAGGGAUCUAGCGUAGUUCGGAAUUACUGGGCUUAAAGAGCUCGUAGGUGGUUAAAAAAGUUGGUGGUGAAAUCCCGAGGCUUAACCUUGGAACUGCCAUCAAAACUUUUUAGCUAGAGUAUGAUAGAGGAAAGUGGAAUUUCUAGUGUAGAGGUGAAAUUCGUAGAUAUUAGAAAGGACACCAAAAGCGAAGGCAACUUUCUGGAUCAUUACUGACACUGAGGAGCGAAAGCAUGGGUAGCGAAGAGGAUUAGAUACCCUCGUAGUCCAUGCUGUAAACGAUGUGUGCUAGACGUUGGAAAUUUAAUUUUCAGUGUCGCAGAGAAAUCGUUAAGCACACCGCCUGGGGAGUACGACCGCAAGGUUAAAACUCAAAUGAAUUGACGGGGACCCGCACAAGCAGUGGAGCAUGU
rnacentral:rRNA from 1 species